rnacentral:rRNA from 1 species
UACGUAGGCAGCGAGCGUUGUUCGGAGUUACUGGGCGUAAAGGGUGCGUAGGCGGUUGUUUAAGUUUGGUGUGAAAUCUCCCGGCUCAACUGGGAGGGUGCGCCGAAUACUAAAUGACUAGAGUGCGGGAGAGGAUAGUGGAAUUCCUGGUGUAGCGGUGAAAUGCGCAGAUAUCAGGAGGAACACCGGUGGCGAAGGCGGAUCUCUGGGCCUGUUCUGACGCUGAGGCGCGAAAGCUAGGGGAGCGAACAGG